UACAGAGGUCCCAAGCGUUGUUCGGAUUCACUGGGCGUAAAGGGUGCGUAGGUGGUCAGGUAAGUCUGAUGUGAAAGCUCUGGGCUCAACCCAGAAAUGGCAUUGGAUACUAUCUGGCUAGAGGAAUGGAGGGGGGACUGGAAUACUUGGUGUAGCAGUGAAAUGCGUAGAUAUCAAGUGGAACACCAGUGGCGAAGGCGAGUCCCUGGACAUUUCCUGACACUGAGGCACGAAAGCUAGGGGGAGCAAACAGG
rnacentral:rRNA from 1 species